CACCUGGUUGGAGCAUCUCCUCAGUGGCACAGGAAACUGUCACUAGCUCUCUCAAUGCAUUUAGCAUUGCUUUGCAAGGGGUGCAGCAGUGGCUCUUCCAUUUGCAGGUUUUCCAAGGUUUCUUUGUGUGUCAGCUGCCUGACUGAAUGGCCUCCCUGACACCUGCAGAAAGAAAACACAGCUAAGAAAAACAAUGGAUGUCAUACUCUGUUUGACAAAAUAUGUGCUGGGCAGAGUCCAUCCUCUGUACUAGCAGAGUGAAUUUUACUCCUACCAAUCGCUCACUGUCACGAAGCUGAAGGAACCACUGUAAUGCUCUGCUUUAGGAAUAUGCUAAUGACAGGAAGAAAACAUACAUAUAAAAUAUUGCAAGCAUCAAGACAUGGAAGGAGAAGGUAAAUUUGGCU